rnacentral:rRNA from 1 species
CGUGGAUAACCUGCCUCAUACAGGGGAUAACAGUUAGAAAUGACUGCUAAUACCGCAUAAGCGCACAGAGAUGCAUGUCUCGGUGUGAAAAGCUGAGGCGGUAUGAGAUGGAUCCGCGUCUGAUUAGCUAGUUGGCGGGGUAGAGGCCCACCAAGGCGACGAUCAGUAGCCGACCUGAGAGGGUGGCCGGCCACAUUGGGACUGAGACACGGCCCAAACUCCUACGGAAGGCAGCAG